GUCAUCUGGCCGAGUCUGACAUAACCUAGUGACGCGGGUCACUGGGUAUGCGUAAUAGCAUUUCCCCUUCUCACGCAAAAAAAGAAAAAACCAAAUUCGAGUCUCACCACC